CGGGGGCGGACGGGGCAGAGACUUCACCGGGUCCGAGCGCGGCGCUGCCCUCACUGCAUCGGGUGCAAUUAAGAGGCCAGCCUGGCAUCAUGAAGCCAUCAGUGUGGAGAGACCUGAAUCCUGACCGGCUCCCAUGUGUGUUUCCAUCCCUGGCCAUCCGUCUGUCCGUGGUCACAUCGCGGUGAUGCUGCAGUAACGGACCUCGACUACAUUAGAUGAGGUCUGUUUAACUUCAACGCUGCCUGAGCCCUUCAGGUGGUGGCACAGGGCACAAGCAGGGGGGAGUGGUGGUGUUGAAUGGUGACCACAGCACAACCAGGGCUGUGUCCGUGCCAUGUUCAUCGCCUCAGCAACCCUGUGUUUUACAGGCAACCCACCAAUGCAGCACUGCUGGCUGGACCGUGAUGCCCAGGACACCACCAGCAGCACAUCCCUCCUGUCCCCCUUCUCCCACUGCAGUGGGACACGGCUCGGAGAAGCCGUCUUUCCCUUUAAGCUUCCUCCCAGUUUAAUUGGAUAGGUUCGAGCCCCAGCUCAUGAUUUCUGCAGCAGUUUGGUCUGAGAUUUCUUCCUUUGCCUCCAUUAUCCACUCUGAUUAACUGAGGUGCCCCUGUCAGCGCUGCUCGGUGGCGCGGGGAGCGCCGG